rnacentral:rRNA from 1 species
UACGUAGGGGGCAAGCGUUGUCCGGAGUUACUGGGCGUAAAGCGCACGCAGGCGGUCUCUUAAGUUUGGAGUGACAGUUGGUGGCUUAACUGCCAAAGUGCUUCGAAAACUGAGAGACUUGAGGGCUUUAGAGGGACACGGAAUUCCGGGUGGAGUGGUGAAAUGCGUAGAGAUCCGGAGGAACACCAAAGGCGAAGGCAGUGUCCUGGGGAGUACCUGACGCUCAGGUGCGAAAGCCAGGGGAGCGAACGGG